CCUACGGGUGGCAGCAGUGGGGAAUUUUGCGCAAUGCUCGUAAGAGUGACGCAGCGACGCCGCGUGAAUGACGAAGGCCUUCGGGUCGUAAAGGUCUUUCGACAGGGAAGAAAAUGCCUAUAAGUAACUGUGUAUGUAUUGACGGUACAUGUAUAAGCAGCCCCGGCUAACUCCGUGCCAGCAGCCGCGGUAAUACGGAGGGGGCGAGCGUUGUUCGGAGGGACUGGGCGUAAAGAGCACGUAGGCGGUGUUGUAAGGCAUUAGUCAAAGACUAGAGCUCAACUUUAGUAAGGCUAGUGAUACUAUAAUACUAGAGUAUCAGAGAGGAUUGCAGAAUUCCUGGUGUAGCGGUGAAAUGCGUAGAUAUCAGGAGGAAUACCGUUAGCGAAGGCGGCAAUCUGGCUGGAAACUGACGCUGAGGUGCGAAAGCGUGGGUAGCAAACAGGAUUAGAUACCCGAGUAGUC
rnacentral:rRNA from 1 species